UCCCUGGUAGUCCAGUUGGUAGGACUCUGUUCUUUCACUGCAGAGGGCACAGGUUUGAUCCCUGGUUGAGGAA
rfam:TPA: Bos taurus chromosome 5, whole genome shotgun sequence.